rnacentral:rRNA from 1 species
AGUGAACGCUGGCGGUAGGCCUAACACAUGCAAGUCGAACGGCAGCACAGUAAGAGCUUGCUCUUACGGGUGGCGAGUGGCGGACGGGUGAGGAAUACAUCGGAAUCUACUUUUUCGUGGGGGAUAACGUAGGGAAACUUACGCUAAUACCGCAUACUACCUACGGGUGAAAGCAGGGGAUCUUCGGACCUUGCGCGAUUGAAUGAGCCGAUGUCGGAUUAGCUAGUUGGCGGGGUAAAGGCCCACCAAGGCGACGAUCCCUAGCUGGUCUGAGAGGAUGAUCCGCCACACUGGAACUGAGACACGGUCCAGACUCCUACGGGAGGCAGCAGUGGGGAAUAUUGGACAAUGGGCGCAAGCCUGAUCCAGCCAUACCGCGUGGGUGAAGAAGGCCUUCGGGCUGUAAAGCCCUUUUGUUGGGAAAGAAAAGCAGCAGGUUAAUACCCCGCUGUUCUGACGGUACCCAAAGAAUAAGCACCGGCUAACUUCGUG